rnacentral:rRNA from 1 species
UGGGGAAUAUUGGACAAUGGGGGAAACCCUGAUCCAGCGACGCCGCGUGUGUGAAGAAGGCCUGCGGGUUGUAAAGCACUUUCGGUGGGAACGAAAUAUGCCGGGCUAAUACCCCGGUAGGCUGACGUUACUCAAUGAAGAAGCACCGGCUAACUCUGUGCCAGCAGCCGCGGUAAUACAGAGGGUGCGAGCGUUAAUCGGAAUUACUGGGCGUAAAGCGCACGUAGGUGGCGACGUAAGUCGGGUGUGAAAGCCCCGGGCUCAACCUGGGAACCGCAUUCGAGACUGUGUUGCUGGAGUACGGAAGAGGAGAGCGGAAUUCCGGGUGUAGCGGUGAAAUGCGUAGAUAUCGGGAGGAACACCUGUGGCGAAGGCGGCCACCUGGUUGGAUACUGACGCUGAGACGCGAAAGCGUGGGGAGCAAACAGGAUUAGAUACCCGCGUAGUCCCUGAGCGGGC